CCUACGGGAGGCAGCAGUGAGGAAUAUUGGUCAAUGGACGAGAGUCUGAACCAGCCAAGUAGCGUGAAGGAUGACUGCCCUAUGGGUUGUACACUUCUUUUAUAUGGGAAUAAAACAGGGUAUGCAUACCCUCUUGUAUGUACCAUAUGAAUAAGGAUCGGCUAACUCCGUGCCAGCAGCCGCGGUAAUACGGAGGAUCCGAGCGUUAUCCGGAUUUAUUGGGUUUAAAGGGAGCGUAGGUGGAUUGUUAAGUCAGUUGUGAAAGUUUGCGGCUCAACCGUAAAAUUGCAGUUGAAACUGGCAGGCUUGAGUACAGUAGAGGUGGGCGGAAUUCGUGGUGUAGCGGUGAAAUGCUUAGAUAUCACGAAGAACUCCGAUUGCGAAGGCAGCUCACUGGACUGCAACUGACACUGAUGCUCGAAAGUGUGGGUAUCAAACAGGAUUAGAUACCCCAGUAGUC
rnacentral:rRNA from 1 species